rnacentral:rRNA from 1 species
AUGGCUCAGGAUGAACGCUGACAGAAUGCUUAACACAUGCAAGUCUACUUGAUCCUUCGGGUGAAGGUGGCGGACGGGUGAGUAACGCGUAAAGAACUUGCCUUACAGACUGGGACAACAUUUGGAAACGAAUGCUAAUACCGGAUAUUAUGAUUGGGUCGCAUGAUCUGGUUAUGAAAGCUAUAUGCGCUGUGAGAGAGCUUUGCGUCCCAUUAGUUAGUUGGUGAGGUAACGGCUCACCAAGACGAUGAUGGGUAGCCGGCCUGAGAGGGUGAACGGCCACAAGGGGACUGAGACACGGCCCUUACUCCUACGGGAGGCAGCAGUGGGGAAUAUUGGACAAUGGACCAAAAGUCUGAUCCAGCAAAUUCUGUGUGCACGAUGAAGUUUUUCGGAAUGUAAAGUGCUUUCAGUUGGGAAGAAGUCAGUGACGGUACCAACAGAAGAAGCGACGGCUAAAUACGUGCCAGCCGCUGC